AACGCGAAGAACCUUACCUGGGCUUGAACCGCACCGGACCAUCUUUGGAAACAGAGACUUCCCGCAAGGGACCGGUGUAGAGGUGCUGCAUGGCUGUCGUCAGCUCGUGCCGUGAGGUGUUGGGUUAAGUCCCGCAACGAGCGCAACCCUUACUCAUAGUUGCUACCCGCAAGGGAGAACUCUAUGAGGACUGCUCCGGAUAACGGAGAGGAAGGUGGGGAUGAGGUCAAGUCAGCAUGGCCUUUAUGUCCAGGGCGACACACGUGUUACAAUGCGCGCUACAAAGCGUCGCGAACCCGCGAGGGGGAGCUAAUCGCAAAAAAGCGCGCUCAGUUCGGAUUGCAGUCUGCAACUCGACUGCAUGAAGCCGGAAUCGCUAGUAAUGGCGCAUCAGAACGGCGCCGUGAAUACGUUCCCGGGCCUUGUA
rnacentral:rRNA from 1 species